rnacentral:rRNA from 1 species
AUUGAACGCUGGCGGCAUGCCUUACACAUGCAAGUCGAACGGUAACGGGCCUUCGGGUGCUGACGCGUGGCGAACGGGUGAGUAAUACAUCGGAACGUGCCCGAUCGUGGGGGAUAACGAGGCGAAAGCUUUGCUAAUACCGCAUACGAUCUACGGAUGAAAGCAGGGGACCGCAAGGCCUUGCGCGGACGGAGCAGACGAUGGCAGAUUAGGUAGUUGGUGGGCUAAAAGCUUACCAAGCCGACGAUCUGUAGCUGGUCUGAGAGGAUGAGGAGCCACACUGGGACUGAGCCGCGGCCCAGAGUCCGACGGGAGGCAGCAGUGGGGAAUGUUGGCCAAUGGGCGCAAUCCUGAUCCAGCCAUGCCGCGUGCAGGAUGAAGGCCUUCGGGUUGUAAACUGCUUUUGUACGGAACGAAAAGUCUUCUUUUAAUACAGGAGGGUCAUGACGGUACCGUAAGAAUAAGCACCGGCUAACUACGUG